CACACUUCUGAAUAUUUAUAUCCAACGGUUUGAAUAUUCACUGGCCCGAGAUGUCUAUGAUUUUAUAACGGAAUCGUAACCUCCACGCACGAAUAUUUGCUCAGAGCCGUGAACAACUUGGAAAAACGGGAAAAGGAAAGUUGGAAAUAGAGGAUAUUGACCAGGAGAGUACCUGUUAGUGAUGCGGGGACCCAGAGAAACCUGGAUUUAAGAGAAGGCAACCACAUCACA
rnacentral:lncRNA from 1 species